rnacentral:rRNA from 1 species
GACGAACGCUGGCGGCGUGCCUAAUACAUGCAAGUCGAACGAAGCUGUUUUAACUGGUGCUUGCACCAACUUAAACAACUGAGUGGCGAACGGGUGAGUAACACGUGGGUAACCUGCCCCAAAGCGGGGAUAACAUUUGGAAACAGAUGCUAAUACCGCAUAAUCAAAGAAACAACAUGGUUUCUGUGUCAAGGAUGGUUUCGGUUAUACCUUGGGGAGGCACCCGCGGCGUAUUAGUUAGUGGGUAAGGUAAUGGCUUACCAAGGAAAUGAUACGUAGCCGAACUGGGAGGUUGAUCGGCCACAUUGGGACUGAGACACGGCCCAAACUCCUACGGGAGGCAGCAGUAGGGAAUCUUCCACAAUGGACGAAAGUCUGAUGGAGCAACGCCGCGUGAGUGAAGAAGGUUUUCGGAUCGUAAAACUCUGUUGUCAGAGAAGAACGUGUGCGAGAGUAACUGUUCGUGCAGUGACGGUAUCUGGCCAGAAAGCCACGGCUAACUACGUGCCAGCCGCCGCGGUAA